GGAAGCGUAUCGAAGUGGUCAUAACGGCCCUGACUCGAAAUCAGGUGAUGGGAAACCGUCCGUGGGUUCGAAUCCCACCGCUUCCG
rnacentral:tRNA from 1 species